GGCAAGAUGGCCGAGUGGUCUAAGGCGCAGCACUUGAAAUGCUGUAUCUUCGGAUGCGUGAGUUCAAAUCUCACUCUUGUCG
rnacentral:tRNA from 1 species